CUACGGGUCGCAGCAGUGAGGAAUAUUGCACAAUGGGGGGAACCCUGAUGCAGCAACGCCGCGUGGAGGAUGACGCAUUUCGGUGUGUAAACUCCUUUUAUAUGUCAAGAAAAUGACGGUAGCAUAUGAAUAAGCACCGGCUAACUCCGUGCCAGCAGCCGCGGUAAUACGGAGGGUGCAAGCGUUACUCGGAAUCACUGGGCGUAAAGGACGCGUAGGCGGGUUGGAAAGUCAGGUGUGAAAUCCUACAGCUUAACUGUAGAACUGCACUUGAACCUUCUAAUCUAGAGUAUGGGAGGGGGAGAUGGAAUUAGCGGUGUAGGGGUAAAAUCCGUAGAUAUCACUAGGAAUACCUAAAGCGAAGGCGAUCUCCUGGAACAUUACUGACGCUAAGGCGUGAAAGCGUGGGGAGCAAACAGGAUUAGAUACCCCCGUAGUC
rnacentral:rRNA from 1 species